CGCGGGUAAACGGCGGGAGUAACUAUGACUCUCUUGGGCUUCUUGCCAAUGGUCCGGUUGUGUCCAUUGGCAUCGCCAUCAAGGCGGUGCAGGAGGAGGCACAUCCGGUCACGUGCAAGGUGACAGUAAUUGCUCUACGGGCUGGCUACGCCCUCGUUGAAGCAGUCUCCUUGCCGGAGCGGUGACUGCCUCCGUUGGUCGCGCGGAAUGCAAUGCUUCCUACCUGCCUUCGCCGCCCGUGUCCAACGCUACCUCCUCGUGGUCAGGAACGCAAGUACCUCAGCGGUUUCACCGCUGAGGGAAACAGACAGUGUUGGGUUCCAGGUGGCCCAAAGCGGCGACCGGACUAGGUCCGGUGGCCACCGACUCAGCUUGAACGGCCGCUUGCCAGGCUACUGAUCAGGGGGUGAUCCCCAGAUCCCCCGUCGCGCAGCUUGAACCACAAUCAAACAACCCGACCAACGAUCCUGCGUGGACGAUCGGGAGCGACGGGGCAACUUCAAAGUGCUACGUUUAUUUUUUCAUUUGUUUCUCGUCAUCACUUUCGUUACUCUCAUGUUGCAUGAGUGUAUACGCAUACGUUCGUUAUGUUCUUGUCGAGACCACACACGUUAUAGUGCUGCAACACGUUAUGUUACGUUGAAUUCUGUUGGGUUUCGCAAGCCCUACCUUUGGUAGAAAUUGCAAAUAAACUUGAAUAGCCAAAUGCCUCGUCAUCUAAUUAGUGACGAGGCAUUUGGAUCAACAAGAGUCCUACUGUCCCUAUCUACUGUCUA
rnacentral:ncRNA from 1 species